rnacentral:rRNA from 1 species
CCAUAUUGGGUGAUAGCCCCGUACACGAAAAUCUCUUAUCAAUGAAAUCGAGUAGGACGGAGCACGAGAAACUUUGUCUGAAUAUGGGGGGACCAUCCUCCAAGGCUAAAUACUCGUAAUCGACCGAUAGUGAACCAGUACCGUGAGGGAAAGGCGAAAAGAACCCCGGGAGGGGAGUGAAAUAGAUCCUGAAACCGCAUGCAUACAAGCAGUGGGAGCCGACUUGUUCGGUGACUGCGUACCUUUUGUAUAAUGGGUCAGCGACUUACAUUCAGUAGCAAGGUUAACCGCAUAGGGGAGCCGUAGAGAAAUCGAGUCUUAAUAGGGCGUUUAGUUGCUGGGUGUAGACCCGAAACCGGGUGAUCUAUCCAUGAGCAGGUUGAAGGUUGGGUAACACUAACUGGAGGACCGAACCCACUGUCGUUGAAAAGCCAGGGGAUGACUUGUGGAUAGGGGUGAAAGGCUAAUCAAACUCGGUGAUAGCUGGUUCUCCCCGAAAGCUAUUUAGGUAGCGCCUCGGACGAAUACCAUUGGGGGUAGAGCACUGUUUCGGCUAGGGGGUCAUCCCGACUUACCAAACCGAUGCAAACUCCGAAUACCAAUGAGUACUAUCCGGGAGACAGACUGCGGGUGCUAACGUCCGUAGUCAAGAGGAAAACAAUCCAGAUCGCCAGCUAAGGCCCCAAAAUUAUAGUUAAGUGGGAAACGAUGUGGGAAGGCUUAGACAGCUAGGAGGUUGGCUUAGAAGCAGCCA